AGGAUUCCCCUAGUAACGGCGAGUGAAGAGGGAAAAGCCCAGCACCGAAGCCUGCGGCAGAUUUGCUGUUAGGCAAUGUGGUGUUUGGGUCGGCUCGUGGGAUCACCACUCCACUCGAAGUCCAGCAUUGAGUAUGGUUACUGGAUUUGGCCCAGAGAGGGUGAAAGGCCCGUACGGGUGGAGUAUCAGACAUGUGAGGUGGUUCACCAGGUCGACCUUAGAGUCGGGUUGUUUGGGAAUGCAGCCCAAAGUGGGUGGUAAACUCCAUCCAAGGCUAAAUACAAGCACGAGUCCGAUAGCGAACAAGUACCGUGAGGGAAAGUUGAAAAGUACUCUGAAGAGAGAGUAAACAGUACGUGAAACCGCAUGCAGGUAAACGGGUGGCGUCAAGCUGCAAGCCCGGAGAAUUCAGUCGGCUAGGUUGUUGUGUAUGCGCCUGGCGCAUCCAUCAGUCAGAGUAUGAUUGGGUAGUCCACUAGUAGACAGUGGGCCUGUCCGCAAGGGCAGGAUAUGUGUACCGGGUGGGUGCCGGAGCAUGCUAUCCGUCUAUGGACUGUCUAGCCGGUGCACUUUCUCCGUGGUCAACACCACGACCGGUGGUAUUGCCAGUCUGCUGUGUCCAAGUCGUAUUUGGUAGGUCCUUGUGGCCAACCGAGUGCGAUCACAGGCAAACUCAGUAAACGGCGUGAGGGUGUUUCGGCACUUUCAUGUGUUAUCGGCUACUGGUUGUCAACGGGCCUGCUCAGUGUUUGUUGUAAUCGACACAGGGUGGUCCGGUGGGGCAUGGUGGUAAGAAUAACUGUGCAAGGCACUGGGGUUAUCGGCCUCAAAUGCGUCCUGCGUCCACGUUACAAGUGUWGGUACUUUGUCGCCGCUGCCUGCUCGGUGCUGGGUGUGAUUGGCGUGUUGCCUGCGCAAAGUAGGCCCGCCAAUGGCUCGGUUCGAGGUGGGUAGUUGGUGGCCUUGUCGAUGGCGUAGGGCGUGGUGGGCCUAAUAGUCAGUGGUG
rnacentral:rRNA from 1 species